rnacentral:misc_RNA from 1 species
CAGAGUUAUUAUAAACUCCCAAAACCACUGUGAACUUACCUAUGUUGCCUCGGCGGGGAAACCUACCCUGCAGCUACCCUGUAGGUACACUUACCCUGUACUUACCCUGUAGACUGCCGCAGGUGAUACCGCCGAAGGACUAUUUCAAACUCUUGUUUCAAUGUGAGAACUCUGAGUUAUCAUACUUAAUAAGUUA